rnacentral:rRNA from 1 species
CCUACGGGUGGCUGCAGUGGGGAAUAUUGCACAAUGGGCGAAAGCCUGAUGCAGCCACGCCGCGUGAAGGAAGACGGUUUUCGGAUUGGAAACUUCUAUCAAUAGGGAAGAAAGAAAUGACGGUACCUAAAUAAGAAGCCCCGGCUAACUACGUGCCAGCAGCCGCGGUAAUACGUAGGGGGCAAGCGUUAUCCGGAAUUACUGGGUGUAAAGGGAGAGUAGGCGGCAAGGUAAGCGAUAUGUGAAAGCCUUAAGCUUAACUAAAGGAGUACAUACCGAACUAUCUAGCUGGAGUACAGGAGAGGAAAGCGGAAUGCCUAGUGUAGCGGUGAAAUGCGUAGAUAUUAGGAAGAACACCAGUGGCGAAGGCGGCUUUCUGGACUGAAACUGACGCUGAGGCUCGAAAGCGUGGGGAGCGAACAGGAUUAGAUACCCGAGUAGUC